AUCCAGAUGAAGAGUCUCAAAUAAGACAAAAGGUUCGUCCUGAAU
rnacentral:hammerhead_ribozyme from 1 species